rnacentral:rRNA from 1 species
AGCGAACGCUGGCGGCAGGCUUAACACAUGCAAGUCGAGCGCCCGUAGCAAUACGGGAGCGGCAGACGGGUGAGUAACACGUGGGAACGUGCCUUUUGGUUCGGAACAACUGAGGGAAACUUCAGCUAAUACCGGAUAAGCCCUUACGGGGAAAGAUUUAUCGCCAAAAGAUCGGCCCGCGUCUGAUUAGCUAGUUGGUGGGGUAAGUGGCCCACCAAGGCUACGAUCAGUAGCUGGUCUGAGAGGAUGAUCAGCCACACUGGGACCGAGACACGGCCCAGACUCCUACGGGAGGCAGCAGUGGGGAAUCUUGGACAAUGGGCGCAAGCCUGAUCCAGCCAUGCCGCGUGAGUGAUGAAGGCCUUAGGGUUGUAAAGCUCUUUCAGCGGGGGAAGAUAAUGACGGUACCCGCAGAAGAAGCCCCGGCUAACUUCGUGCCAGCCGCCGCCGUAAU